UGCAGUUCUCAGGUGAUGCACCCGGAACCAGAGAGGAGGGAGCCCGAUUCCAGGGUGUGUCACCCGAGAACCGCC
rfam:Myotis lucifugus cont2.28037, whole genome shotgun sequence.